GGCCGGUUGGUGUAGUUGGUUAUCACGCAUCGCUCACACCGAUGAGGUCGCCAGUUCGAACCUGGCAUCGGUCA